rnacentral:lncRNA from 1 species
CCCCCUCCUGUGAUUUUUCCCCCCUCCGGCACUGCUCCAAACUUUGGAGCAAUGUAGUUAUAUUAUUUUCCUGUCUUGACUAUUAAUGCUGUGGCUGCCUCCACUGGUAUUGUAGCUCUAGGGCUGCUACUCACCAAUCCUGAAGACAGCGAGUUCAGAUGACAUUGACUGAAGUUUGGAGAGUUUAGAAAACCAGGUCUUGGAGACUCAAGAUCAGUGUUUUUAUCUUUAAUUUUUUCCUUAGAGGAAGACAGAAAGGUGAAGUCAAAUUUUCUAUUAAAUAUGACAAAUACUAAUUAGGGAAAUGGGCAGAGAAGAGUGUCUCAUUACCUGGCGGAUUGAUUUUUAACUCACUGGCAACUUGGUGCCACUAGAUCUGAAAGUCAUGCCAGUGGGUAGGUUAAUACAUUCUUUGCAGAGAUGUGACAACUGCCACUAGGAAGAAUGUGCAUUACUUUAAAAUUAAGGUAAAUUCCUGU